rnacentral:rRNA from 1 species
CGAACGCUGGCGGCGUGCUUAACACAUGCAAGUCGAACGGAAAGGCCCUGCUUGCAGGGUACUCGAGUGGCGAACGGGUGAGUAACACGUGGGUGAUCUGCCCUGCACUUCGGGAUAAGCCUGGGAAACUGGGUCUAAUACCGGAUAGGAGCCAUUUUUAGUGUGAUGGUUGGAAAGUUUUUUCGGUGUAGGAUGAGCUCGCGGCCUAUCAGCUUGUUGGUGGGGUAAUGGCCUACCAAGGCGGCGACGGGUAGCCGGCCUGAGAGGGUGGACGGCCACAUUGGGACUGAGAUACGGCCCAGACUCCUACGGGAGGCAGCAGUGGGGAAUAUUGCACAAUGGGCGCAAGCCUGAUGCAGCGACGCCGCGUGGGGGAUGACGGCCUUCGGGUUGUAAACUCCUUUCGCUAGGGACGAAGCUUUUUGGGACGGUACCUAGAUAAGAAGUACCGGCUAACUACGU